CCCUACCGUCUAGAAACUUUUCAGGGGAAAAGAGGGCGUUUGACGUGUGGGUGGGUGUGCGGACAGCGCCGGCAGGAGCAGCAGGAGCGGCGAACGCCCGGGGCUGGGCUGCAGACGGAUGUAAAUUACAUUUGGCAAGAUCAGGCUCCAAGGCUCUCAUUUGCCCUCACCAGAUACUUAGAAUAAGAUUUCGGUGUGACAGUAAUUUUGCCAAUGGAGGUCGACUCCCCAAAACAUCACCCUGCGAAGCACAGCGCAUGUAAAGCUGCAGGGGAAUAAAACAAGAGCAGUGCUGAUGUGCUCGAAAGACAUGUAAGUGUUCCACUUGAAUUGGCUGUGACCGCAGAGUCAGCUGGACACUGUGCUCAUUUCCUUUGGCUCCAGUACCCGAGCUCCAGAGAAGCACAGAUUUGGCAAGGUGCUGAACUACUGAGUGAAAAUGAAGUCACAGCUUCAGAAGAGAUUCACAGAUUGCGAUGUGUAGGUAUUCUGUGUCACGUUUUAGUCAUUGCUUUUAGAAUGCCUGCUCUAAGAUGGUCCUCAAUUAUGGGACCAUGCCUGUGCCACAUGGUUUCCAGAGAGACUGAGCCAAAAGUGAACUAUGUUCUUUAGUAGAUGAAUAUCUAAGACAAGUAGAUGGAUUGCAAAAGUAUUCUAAAAUUUUUAGCCAAACUCUGGGCAAUGUUGGGUCUAACUGGCUUACAAAACACAUUCUUUUUCAGCCAACAGUGAAGCCAGCAUUGUUAACAAUAUGAACCAACACUGAAAGCCUUCAUCAUUAAUACAUACCUGCAGUCAGAUUUUGAAUGUGACCUGGCCAAAUAUAUUUACUCAUUCAAUGCUUAUUUAAAUAAGUGGUAGGCCUUGGAGAAACCUCAGUUCUUAUAUUCUCUCAUAGUGCUGUUCAGUAGGAACAGAAUGUGAGCCACACAUGUAAUUUAAAAUUUUCUGGUAGCCACAUAAAGAUAUUUAAAAGAAACCAAUAACAUUAAUUU